rnacentral:lncRNA from 1 species
AAGAGAUUGUCAUGGGGGGAGGCAGAAGAAAACAGGUAUGUUGGCCAUCAUGUCUAAAGCUACCACGCUUGCUAGCCUCUGGUGUUUCAAAAACUAUAAGGAUGACACAUGGAAUGUGGAAGAAGUAGAAAAUUGGGUUUGGGUCAUGGGGUUGAGAAAAGGACUGAUGCUUGUAGGCUGCAGAAUGGAUGGACAUGGGGACAAGUUAUCUGAAGGCCUUGGAGAGGAGGGUCAGUUUUGUGUGGUGCAGCAGUAGACCUGGUUCAGGUGGAAGCAUAGGCUUUGGAUUCUGCUGGCAUCUGAUAAAUAUUGGCUACUUAGACUAAUGUAAGCUUUAUAAGGACACAUAAAGAGCUCUGUGAAUGGUUGAUCUAGUCCCGCAUUCUCCUUCCCAAAGUGGUCAGCCUCUGUGAAAUCCACAAAGUUGGACAUAAAGGUCAUAGCCUCUUGCCCACGGUUGCCUCCCAUCCAAUGGAAUUCAUUGACAUAUGAAACAUUUGGCACUCUCAGGUGCUGUGCAGCUAUGGACCAUCCAUCCACUUUUAUCCAGGUCAAGAAUUCCCACAUGAGCAGUAGAGUCAGGAAAGAGGCGGAAGAAGAGAGGCAGAGCUGCCAAUGGGCUCAUGAGAGAGCAGGAGGCACCUGCUGAGGCCACACAGAGAAAGGACAACACACACUUUUUCUCCAUCUGGCUCCCUUGAUGGUAUUCUACUGCAGGACCCACCUUUCUUCACUUUCCUCAUUGGCUGAUAGGCCUUCAGCCUAGCUCUGCAGCCUGGACAGCAAACCAGAGUGCAAAUUGUUCUGUGCUCUCAACCAAUAAGAAUCCUUCUUGCUUUUCUAGAGCUGAGGGAUGUGUCACUUAUGCUCUGAAGCUGAAGAAGGGGCAGGGGUGUGGGGUAGCUUCAGAAUUUGCUCCAAGUUCUGUUUUCACAUCACGUUUGUCUCAGUUUCCUUCUGAAAGGGAGCCUAAGCCUAUAAAGAAUGGCGAUUUUUUUUCUUGUUAACUGACUUGUGCUCUGCGUUCCACUUCUCUUUAAAACGACUGUGUUUGUGCAGCAGGAUUCCACCACUGCCCCUUUCUCAGCAGCAACAUCUCUCUUUAAAAACUCCCGAGUUCUAAAAGCAGCUGGCAGGAUAAGUUGGAGGGGGUGGGGAAUGCUUUUUAAAAGAAAGAGAAAAGGCCCCAUUGCACACACGGCUCUCUCCGUAUGCUUCUUGGAUCACAGCCAAGGUAUUAGGAAAAUAAAUUCUGCAAUUAAAAGGUUUAACAAUAAGAGAGAGUUGAUUCUUGCAUUUCAUUUUUUUGUUUAAUGAAGGUAACAAUGGGUUUUCCAAUAUCCUUGUGAAUUUGACAGCCAAUUCAACUGUAUAGUGGGGUUUUUUUUUAUAUAAACAAAUUUGCAGUAUGAUAUAUUGGAAAUCUGAAAGAGAGAGCCAAUUUAUUUCUCUGUAGAUCAAUCUGAAAUAAAAUGUUUUCCAGCUUUUCGUUCCUCACAAAAUGGUUUGGCAAGUUUCCCCUUUGGAAAAUGAUACUGCCAUCUGCAGCUGCUAUGCUAUAGAUUGCCUGUUGGUAAACAGUUGCACAAAUCAUUUAAAUAAAUGCAGAUGAAAACUGAAUCCGGUAUUGAUUUUCCUUGAAUACCUUUUGCCAGAAGGAAUGGUUGUAAAUUGACAAGAAACUGAAAGUGUCCUUGACCGUAUUGCACAGCACAAUGCAUAUCACUGUAUUCAGAAUCCUUUGAUGAAAUUUCAGUGUGCUCAUUUUACCAAAAAUCCAGACUUUAAUAAUUCCAGUUAGUAGCAAUAGCCCUGAUAUACAUUUAUUAAGAGAAUUCCAUAGCAUGUACCACAAAAAAAUGGUCACAGGGCAGUAUACAAAAAUAGGGUAACUGUAACUCAUAAUAUUAAGAAACAUCAAAAUCAUUAUCAUAAGGAACAUAAAUAACAAGGUCAUAAAAAUGACAACCCAAUUAAAAAGGUGGGCUUUUACCUGUCUUUGUGAGACACAUCAAUGGGAAGGUCAUUUCAAAGACAAAGAGCCAGCAAUAUCCCAAAAGCUCCUUAUGCAGUUUAUUUAAUGCAAGGACCAACAUCUUCCUCUGAUCUUAAUGCAUGGAUAGGUUGAAAGAGGAGAAGUUCUAUCAGAUAUUUGGGAAGGGACCCGAAUGUCAUUGUGUAAGCUUAACUGGCGGUCCCCUCACUGUGAGAAGCGAAGUUACAGAGAACCAGGCAGAGGGCCUUCUCUGUAGUGGCGCUUGCCCUGUGGAACACCCUCCCAUCAAAUGUCAAAGAAAUAAACAACUAUAUGACAUUUAGAAGACAUCUGAAGGCAGCCCUGUUUAGGGAAGUUUUUGAUGACUGAUGUUUUAUUUUUUAAUCUUCUGUUGGAAGCCGACCAGAGUGGCUGGAGAAACCUAGCAAGAUGGGCGGGGUAGAAAUAAAUAAAUAAAUAAAUAAAUAAAUAAAUAAAUAAUAAUAAUAAUAAUUACUGAGCUAAGCAAUAGUAUGCAGAUUUGUACCUCUAAUUUAUCCAGUGCACAAUAUUAUUUCACCCCUUUGGGGUAUGGAGGUAUCAUGCAUACAUUUGUACAUUUCCCAAUUCUAUAUGUUUUUUAAAUGGCUUCCCACAAUUUCCUGGGAACUAUGGGCUGGAACCAUGGGACGCGGGUGGCACUGUGGGUUAAACCACAGAGCCUAGGGCUUGCUGAUCAGAAGGCUGGUGGUUCGAAUUCCCACGACGGGGUGAGCUCCCGUUGUUCAGUCCCAUCUCCUGCCAACCUAGCAGUUCGAAAGCAUGAAGUGCAAGUAGAUAAAUAGGUACCGCUCUGGUGGGAAGGUAAACAGUGUUUCCGUGUGCUGCUGUGGUUCACUAGUCAUGCUGGCCACAUGACUCGGAAGCUGUACGCCGGCUCCCUCGGCCAGUAAAGCGAGAUGAGCGCCGCAACCCCAGAGUCAUCCGCGACUGGACCUAACAGUCAGGGGUCCCUUUACCUUUACCUUUAUGGGCUGGGAACUUCCUGCUAGUAAGACUUUUGGACCUAAUGAAGGCUCAAGGAGCUUCCACCCUCUUCUCUUUGCACACGUACUUGUUGCUGUUGAUGGAAGACCCAAGUUUAAAUGACCCAAGAUUACUUACAGGCAUAGAGAUUUUGGCUUAGAUCAUAUUUAUUACUUAUCAGUGGCAUAGCAUGGGAGCCAGGGGGGCCGUGGCCCCAGGUGCAGAAUCUGGGGGAGGGGCACACGAACCAGGUGCCCCCUGCAGAGAUCCAGCAGUGAGGGCUGGGUGAAUGCAGAGGGUGAAGAGCAGCCUCCAUGCAACGCUCGAUGCACAAGUGCCCACCCAUUGCUGGCAAGGGUUGGGUAAGCAUGGAGGUUGAAGAGCACCCUUCGUGCCCUGCCCUCACCUGACUCAUAGGUGGCAGCAUUGGGUACUGACCAACAGUGCUACACCCCUGUUACUACUACUACUACUACUACUACUACUACUAAUUUAUUUAUACCCCGCCCAUCUGGCUUGGUUUCCCCAGCCACUCUGGGUGGCUUCCAACCGAAUAUCAAAAACAAUACAGCAUCAAACAUUAAAAACUUCCCUAAACAGGGCUGCCUUCAAUUGUCUUUUAAAAGUAAAAUAGUUGCUUAUUGCCUUGACAUCUGCUGGAAGGGCGUUCCACAGGGCAGGCGCCACUACCAAGAAGGCCCUCUGCCUGGAUCCCUGUAACUUGGCUUCUCGCAGUGAGGGAACCGCCAGAAGGCCCUCAGCGCUGGACCUCAGUGUCCGGGCAGAACGAUGGGGGUGGAGACGCUCCUUCAGGUAUACUGGACUGAGGCCAUUUAGGGCUUUAAAGGUCAGCACCAACACUUUGAAUUGUGCUCAGAAACAUACUGGGAGCCAAUGUAAGUCUUUCAAGACCGGUGUUAUGUGGUCUCGGUGGCCACUCCCAGUCAUCAGUCUUGCUACCGCAUUCUGGAUUAGUUGUAGUUUUCUGGUCACCUUCAAAGGUAGCCCCACGUAGAUCACAUUGCAGUAGUCCAAGAAGGAGAUAACUAGAACAUGCACCACUCUGGCAAGACUUCUUAGUAUUAUAUUUAUUACUUUAGGGAGGACUUCGUUCAGAAUCCCUCUAAUUUCCAAAAACUUGGCGACAUCAUUAUGUACCGUAUUUUUCGUUCUAUAGGACGCACCUGGCCAUAGGACACACCUAGUUUUAGAGGGGGAGAACAAGAAAAAAAAAUCUCUCCCUCUCUGCGCAGUGCCCCUUCAGUGAAGCAGCAGGAGAAACUGGGCCCCUUCCAUUUCUCCUCCUGCUUUGCUGAAGGGGUGCUGCACAGAGAGGGAAAGCUGCGCAGCGCCUCUCAAGCGAAGCCAGGAGAGCAAGAGGGAUUGGUGCGCACCGAUCCCUCUUGCUCUCCAGGCUUCAGCGAAAGCAACACGAGGCUUCGGGUGGCGAUCCCUGAAGCCAGGAGAGUCUUGAUCUCCUGGCUUCAGCGAAAGCAACUCGAAGCCUCCGGAGUGUGGCGGGAGCUUUGGAGGCUUUGUGUUGCUUUCGCUGAAGCCAUGGAGCCUGCAUUCGCUCCAUAAGAUGCACACACAUUUCCCCUUAAUUUUUGGAGGGGAAAAGGUGUGUCUUAUAGAGCGAAAAAUACGGUAGAUAACAUCAUUGCAUGGAGCUGCUUUUCACGUGGUGAUUUUGUAGUUCAUGAACCAGGAGCAAAGGGCCAGCUAUCAUGGUAAAAACAAGCCUCCAUUUCCAGAGCUCGUGGGUGCCAUGUUCUGGGAAGGGCUAUGAAUUUUGUGCCAUCCUUGUGACCUUCUAGAGGCAACCUAUUAGAAAAUAGGAUACUGAACUAGGUGACCUUUUGCUGUGAUUCAGCAAGGCAGUUGCUUAAAUGUUCUUAAGUCUCCCUUAUCCGCCCCCAAGCAUUCACAUGUAGAUCCCUCACUGCCUCCUUUGCAAAAUGAAAAAGGUCUUUAAGAUGGGAUAGUUUUAAGAGUUCACGGGACUUUUAGAAGGAGUCAAAAGGCUGUGUUCUUCUAUGGCUAAUCCUGAGUCACUUUGGCGAGAGACAGCUGCCUUGUAACAGACCAGUCAUAGGAAAGAGGGUUGUUGUUGCAUUUAGCUCGUUGGGGGCAACCGGUGUCUGUCUGCCUGGCUGGAUUUGGCAGUAGGUUUUAAAUGGAUUAAUUUCCUUUCUACUUAAAUCCUUAAGAACGACUGAGCAGAGGGGCAAGGGGCCUUUGAACCCUGUGACAUGUGAGACAUGUGAGAAGCUAACAAGGCUGCCCUGUGAACAUAUCCAAGAGCAGACUAAAUAAGGGGUAGCAUUUGCAGAAAUGCUUUUGGAAUGGCAAAAUCAAUGGGGUUAUUUGCUGACAUAUUCCAGUCCUCCCCCUAAGCUGUGUAUAGUACAAGAGAUAGUCAUCAAAGUAUUGAUCAACCAAUUAGUCAUCACAAGUAAUUACAGCCAUGGACUCUUGAAGAAAAUUUAGUUCACUUAAUUACUCUUCAGACCCAAGCCCCGCUGUUUAUUUUGGGCCCAGGAAUGCUUCGCUUGUGUAAUUAAUCCGGAGGGGGAGCAAAAACUCCAGCAGGCAGAAGCAACCGUAGCUGUAUAUUUCAUAUUUGUUACAAAUGAGCUCAGGUCGCAUCAUGCCAGUCAGCAGGCAGGCAAAUAGAUGACACUUGGCUCCUGUUGCUCUCAAGGAGGAUGUCAGAUGUCAUGUCCAAGCUAUUUGUUUCUCUACUGCUUUUGCAGGUUUCCAGGCAGAAGGCUUCCCCUACCCUCUUCCUCCGACUGUGUUAAGAAAUAUGUUUGCUGCUUUGUUUUGCAUUGCUGUGACAUUGGGAUGCUUAAGAUCAAAACCUUCCUAUCUGAGGAGGCAGCUCUGGCCAAUUGCUGUCCAUCAGAUAAUACUUAUUAACCUCAAGCCUCUCUCCUUGUCAACUGUUUUUACAGACUAGCUCUGCUUGCUGCCCUGGGGUUCUGCAAAAACUCUGCCAGGCUCCACAAAGGUGAGUGAUGCUUUGGUGUGUGCAUGCAACAAAUUUUCUUCUAAAAACGGUUUGAUUCUCCCAGAGAACUUCUUCUUUCCUUUGACGUUUUCAUUAAAAAAGAGAGAGGAGAAAAGAUAGAAGUUGAAGAUAAUUUGGCUUUAGAAUCUCCAUACCUAAAAAAACCAAUCUGCUUAUUUAUGCUGCUGCCAAAUAGCUGUAGAUGAUCAAGUGAACAGUCCCAGCUUCUCUUCUGGGAUGGCUUUUUCCCAGUAGUGAUAUAUGGAAGUGAGAGCUGGACCAUAAAGAAGGCUGAUCGCCGAAGAAUUGAUGCUUUUGAAUUAUGGUGCUGGAGGAGACUCUUGAGAGUCCCAUGGACUGCAAGAAGAUCAAACCUAUCCAUUCUGAAGGAAAUCAGCCCUGAGUGCUCACUGGAAGGACAGAUCCUGAAGCUGAGGCUCCAAUACUUUGGCCACCUCAUGAGAAGAGAAGACACCCUGGAAAAGACCCUGAUGUUGGGAAAGAUUGAGGGCACAAGGAGAAGGGGACGACAGAGGAUGAGAUGGUUGGACAGUGUUCUCGAAGCUACCAGCAUGAGUUUGACCAAACUGCGGGAGGCAGUGGAAGACAGGAGUGCCUGGUGUGCUCCAUAGAUCUUAGAUUUUUAUGUCAAUUAGGAGGGAAUAUUCUGGAGCAGGCACUGGGAAAUGAUGGGAAAUGGGGCAGAGAAAAGGAUUGUUGUAAUAUUCUCACACAGUGCAAAAAACCGAAUAUAACUGGGGUGCUAGGCCCAAGAAAUAUUGUGUGUGAAAUUCACACUGACAUUUCUCCAAAAAUGAAAUGUAAAGGAAAUUCAGAUUUUGGGCCUCAGGAGAAACAUCUUAAAGAUGACAAAGGAAGCUAAGAGUGUUUUCAUAGAAUAGAAUCGUAGAAUUGGAAGGGACCCAGGGGUAAUCCAGUCCAAAAUGGCAAAAAUGUAUAAAACUAAAUCAAAUAAGUGUUGGAAAUGUAAAGAGAAAGAAGGUUGUUUUUAUCAUAUGUGGUCUUGGAUUAAGGUUAAAGCUUACUGGGAAAUGAUAUAGAAUGAAUUGAAAAGGAUGGUUUAAAUAAUGUUUGUACAACAAAAAACAGAAGCUUUUCUUCUGGGAAUUAUGGGGACAGAACUACCCAAACUGUAUAGAAACUUAUUCAUGUAUGUUACUACAGCCGCAAGAAUGUCACUUGCCCCAAAAUGGAAAGAUGCAGAAGUCCCAGCAAAGGAAGAAUGGAUACAAAAAAUUAAGGAAUAUGCAGAAAUGGCGAAACUUACUGGAAGAAUAAGAAAUCAAGAUAGCAAUUAUUUUUUUUGUAUAAAAGAAUGGAAAUGGUUUAUUGAAUAUGUACAGACAAAUUGUAAACAGAUAAGAACAUUGGCAAGAUUAUUGUAAUAACCUGCAGUUUGAUAAGAGUAUAUAUUUAAAGUAGAUGAAUAAAUGAGCAAAUUAACUAUUUUGGAUAUGCUUGUUGUUUAGUCGUGUCCGACUCUUUGUGACCCCAUGGACCAGAGCACGCCAGGCACUCCUGUCUUCCACUGCCUCCCAUAGUUUGGUCAAACUCAUGCUGGUAGCUUCGAGAAGACUAUCCAACCAUCUUGUCCUAUCGCCCCCUUCUCCUUGUGCCCUCAAUCUUUCCAACACCAGGGUCUUUUCCAGGGAGUCUUCUCUUCUCGUGAGGUGGCCAAAGUAUUGGAUAUGCAGAAGAUAUUAAAAAUAAAUUUAAGGGACCGCAGAAGGGGGGGGGAGAAGUCAAGUUUUGAAGGGUUAAAUGAUUGUAAAAUUAGUGAAGUUUAAAAUUGUAAAAAUACUGAAUACAUCUCAAAUUAUUGAGAUGUAUGUAUAUAUGGUAAUCCAGUCCAACCUCCUGCAAUGUGUUACCUCAGGGCCUUCUGAUGUCUACUGCCAGUACACAGUCUGCCACCCACCAAUUUUGCAGGUGGAAGGGGAUGGUCUUUGCUGGUCACAGGAGAUCAGCUCAUCCAGGAUAGCUGAGAAGAGGAAGAUUUCUUCUUGGGCUGUGUAUGUGAUAAAGGGGAGCCAUACCGGG